rnacentral:lncRNA from 1 species
GGACUGCAGGCUGGGGCUCCGCUCCCCGGCGGGAGCCCGCGCGUGGUUCCCAGCGAAGUCCCCGCGCGGCUGGGCCCAGCGUGAGUAUUCUCCGCCCGCUGUCCUCCCCCUGGAGGCGGCAGCGCCCGUUUAUUUGAGGAGGAUGAGGCUGUCACUACUACAGUUGGGACUGUUUCAUACUCCGUGCUCUUGUGCUAUGCCAGGGGGUACUGUCUAACCCACAAGUCUCUGCCAGGAAUGUUGCUGUCCACACUGGAGUGUAAGACACCUGCGGAGCUCGUCUAUGGGGCUCAUGUUGGCUGAGGCUCUGAACUACAGAACUGCAAACAACCAAGGGAGCGCCCCAGGCCCCAGGUAUUCCUAAACCUUAGAUCAGAGCCAUUUGCAGCACAGAGUUGUGUGCUGUUUCAAAACCACAGACCCUGUAUAUACGCCCCUCCAUUGCAGAGGUGGAUGUCUUGGCAAAUGUAGGACGAGGAUUGAAAAUUAAAAAACAAACACACCGUGUUCAGGGUGAAAAUUACAUACAUUGACAAUACUGUCUCUUUUCCUCCACAAUCUUACUGCCACCAGGCAGCCUCAGUCAGUCCGUGCUUAUUUCACUGAAAAUGUACUUAAUCUCAGAAAAGCUAUCUAUAUGUAAGAACAUAUUUUGUUAAUCAAUUUUAUGAAAACAAAACCCCUCUCACCUUAGUUGAAUAAAGUGCUAAUUUGAAA